UACGGAGGGUCCAAGCGUUAUCCGGAAUCAUUGGGUUUAAAGGGUCCGUAGGCGGUUUUGUAAGUCAGUGGUGAAAGCCCAUCGCUCAACGGUGGAACGGCCAUUGAUACUGCAAGACUUGAAUUAUUAGGAAGUAACUAGAAUAUGUAGUGUAGCGGUGAAAUGCUUAGAUAUUACAUGGAAUACCAAUUGCAAAGGCAGGUUACUACUAAUGGAUUGACGCUGAUGGACGAAAGCGUGGGGAGCGAACAGG
rnacentral:rRNA from 1 species